UACAUAGUUGUGUAUAGAUGUAGUUUCUUCUGGUUCUUCUAUAUGAGCCAUUAUCAUAGCAUGGCUACUGACAGAUGGGUGGUGUGGUUCCGUGACCGGGAAAUGAAUGUGGACACCGAAGGAGUGAAAACACCAAGCUUUAACCACUAGGCCAUCAGGGCUGGCUCACAUUUUUUUUCUCUCUCUCUUGGGAAUUAAAAAAAAAGAAAACCAAACAAGCAGACCAGGUUGUACCUGUUGAUUUCUAUUCAGAUUCUAUAUUCAGACACUAGUAUGUCAUUGGCCACAGUGGCGUGUUUGGCUGGCUGGUUUGGAAGUGGUGAGGAAGAGAGCCAGGCCCUGAGGGUGGAGGGGUCAUGCACACCAUUGGCUGCGAGUAUUUGACCCAAGGCGGAGAGCCCACUUGCGGCCCUGCAUUGUGCUCUCCUGGGCAGCUUCUCCGGGCAGGCAGACACUUGAGCCUCUUGGCCUUACUAAGAAGGACAACUGACCUCUCAGACAUGUGGAAGGAGUGCCAACUCUCCCAAAGCUGGAUGUGAGGUGGGCCUCAUCCAAUCAGUUGAAGGCCUGAAGAGUGAAAACAGGUUUCCUGGAGAAGGAAGGAAUCCAGCCUCAAGGCGGCAAUGGCAGCUCCUGCCUGAGUGUCCAGCCUGCCGACCUGCCCCAUGGACUUUGAACUUGCCAAACCCCACAAUCCUUCUUUUUCCUUUUGCCACUGGGCCAGCUCUGAAAGAAGGAGAAUAAAUGGAACUUAAGAUAGCAAGCAGCAGAAGCAAUGCUUCAAACUACUGUGCCCACCGUUUCUUUUGUUGAAAGCAUCACCGCCAUUGAACAUAUUUACCAUUGAUGGUGUUAUAACACGUGGGCCAUCCUUCUCAAAAGACAUCACAACACAAGCAAGAAGUUAGCCAUCGCUUUGGAAAGCAAAGUGGUCCUAGAAGGUCCCAGAAGAGUGCAACAGAGGACUAUUGUCUACUAAUGACUAAUUCUCAGCCAAAUACGGUCGACUGUUUUAAUAGUCAAGACACAUUUGCCACAGAAAAAGUGUUGUCUGCUGAUAAUGGCAAAUGAGGACUGGAAAAGAUUUUGUCAGCGCAAAUGCACUCUCUUUUUCUGCCCGAUACGAAUUAGAAAGCUUCGUCAGUGAUUGCUUUAAAUUAUAGGCUCCUAAUCUUACCACCUAGCAGUCUCAUAAUUACCAAGUCCUUAUCUGCUGCCCACUGAUUUUCCAUUUGUAAUGUGUCCAUUUUGGAAUGAGAGGAGAACUGCCCAAGAGAUUCGAAAAGAAGAAGAAGAAGAAUGAGAACUUUAAAUGUUCUGGCAACCAAGAACAAAGCUCCUUUCGUUUCAUUUCCACUUCAUCUCCUUGUCUGCAUCGCAGUCUAUCUUGAAGACUCCAGCAGCAGCUGGGAUAUUUACAGAAUGAUGCUGAUGUUUCAAAGUAAAGUAUGAGGUUGGCAGCGACCCUGAGUCUGAUAUAUUGAAAGCAAAAAAAGGAAAAAAUGCAAUCCUCAAAGUUAAAGGAGAUCUGUCGGCUUCUCUCUUUUCUUGAAGCUAAUUAUAUAAGCACCUAUUGCUAAUGUGAAUGCAACCCCUUAAUAAAUAUAUUAAGCAUUAUUAAUAUGUAUUUAAUUACACAAAUUGAGCAUUUAUAGAUUUUUGGUAUUAAUUUCAUGAAGCAAAACAGGAAAACUGAAGAAUGACACCCAUGUCGUUCUUUGGUAUUCUGUGAAAUUCCAAAAGGGCAAGUGAAUAGCGUCUUGAGUCAUAGAUAGAAUUGAUCAUAGCUUUCAAUUGCUUUGUUAGGUUAAUAAGAAGAAAAAUAUAGAAAACUGCUUAACAUCCUUAAUAGGUUGUAAGGCAGAGUGAAUUCUAAGAAACAGAAGCAGUGAUACAUAAGAAGAGGAGAGAGAGGAUAAAACCUCAACAGGAUAAAAUGAAUACAGAGAAGCUUGAGUUAAGAAAGGACUGCAGAGAAAUCUCGAAAAUGUGAUAGUACAAUUAAGUUGUGAAUGAUUCAUCUACAAAGUGAUGACUGUACUUUGGAGUUAAAAGUGGGAACAGAUUCAUUUCUAAAUCCACAUAGCUGUUUUUCUUUUCUUUUUUUAAAAUAGACUUUAUUUUUUAGAGCAGUUUUAGCUUCACAGCAAAGCUGAGCAGAAAAAACAGAGAAGUCCCAAUAACAACGUGCCCCGACACAUGCACAGCCUUCCCACUAUGGUUUUUUUUUUUUUUUUUUGAGUUACAAAUGUUUAGAUAGACUCUGGAAGUAUUGGAGGAGUAAGAAUAUUUUACACAUAAAGGUGUGAAACUUUGUUGGCUUAUCUUUUUCCUUUGCACCUGAUUUCAGGAGACAAUUAUGCCAUAGUCAACAUUUUUUGAAAUAAAUGUCUGUUACUCAAGAAGUGUAUGCCCAGAGAAGUUGUGUUUUAUGCAGAAAGGCAUUAAAGACAUUUUUAGAUAUACAAGAAUUGGGAAAAUAUACUAUAAAUUUUUAAGGAAAAAUUCCAAACCCUUGAAAACAUACCAACGUGCAUUGAAGCUAUGAGUUUAAAAGCAAAUCAUUCAUUGUUUCAAAGGACUUGCAAGCCUUCCCUUCCGGGGUUUCAUCAUAAGUUCUGGAAUCCAGUUGAGCUGUUUGUUCUGUCAGGUAGUGCACGUGGAGUCAUUUCCCUCAAUGCUUACACAUCUACCUACUCUUCUCACAAGGAUCCCCUUUCUCAGUGUUGUUCUUCCCCUCACAUGGAAGCAGAAUCUUGUGCUCAACUUCACGCCCACUUAAUGUGAUUGCUAGUUUUCUCUUUCAAUGGUUAUCAAUUUUGGUAAAAUAUUUCUCUAAUUUGUUCUCUGAGAUUGGAGAACUACCUAUUAAAAAAAUAAAUUUAAUCUUCACUCCUCUUCAAACAAAGUUAUGAAAGGCAACAAAAUGGCCAUUUAUUAAAGAACUUGAAUACUAAUUUUAUUCGUCUUUAAAUCUCACUUUGAAUGACAUACAUUGCAUAUUUUUAAGUUGGGAAAUACAAAGAAAACACUUAUUGAUAGAUAUUAUUUGCUUCCAAGUUGCCAUUUAUUCCUUUUCCAUCUAUAACCUGUGGAUAUAGCAAUGCUAUCAUUAUAACUAUAUUUAAACAAACAGCCCUGGUAAAAAUGCUGAAAGAAACUGCAAGAAAAUAUUAGAAGUAAUUUUCUCUUUAAAGGCCUGGAGGCAUUGUCUUUCUUGUCUUCUGUCUUGUGUGUUUUCAAAGUCACCUAACUAGCCUGAAUUUUUAAUUUUGAGAAAAAAUUUUAUUGAUAUAAUAAAAGUUAUAUAGAAAAUGUAGUUUUUAAAAUCUUCCAUGCUUUAAAAAGAGAAAGAAUUGAUAUUCUGAACUUCUGAUGCAAGCUUUUGAGCAAAAUAAAGAUUAAAAUUAAGUAACAAAAGUAUCAUAGAGAACAUAAGUCUGCACAAAUUUCUAUCUGCUCUUUAGUAGUAAAAAAGAGACAACUAUUUUGAGUAAUUUUUUUUUUCUUGGUGAGGAAGUUUGGC